rnacentral:lncRNA from 1 species
GCCCACUAAACCAGCGCCGCCCGCCUGACCCACACACCACAGCCUCCCGUCAACCUGCCUGCCUGGCUGGCUGUCCGACUGGACAACCCUGUCUGGGGCUCCACAAAGGGGAGGGCAAUAGGAUACAGACUCUGAAGCUGUCCCACCUCCUCAGACCAUACUGUAGGACUUCACACCAAAAAUGCUUUGCUAAAGCUGGUAAAAUGGAACCAAAUCAACUGUUCAAUGGAUUUGGUCCCCUUCAACCAGCUGUAGCUGUGCAUUGAUCACUCCGGAUCACUGAAGAGUGGGACCAAGAAUGGUUGACAGACACACCAAGACUCCAUCUGACUCACUGACCUGAGAACAGGGCUCACCAGAGGGAAUCUGGCAGAGACACUGUGUCAGGAAUGGACACACUGAUCCAGGAGCAGAAAAGCCCAACUGAACCUUCAGACCACAACUGGGUAGGCUGCAAGUAGGAAUGAAUAUUUUGUACACCAGAAGGGAUAUAGAUUUUUUUGCAAUAAAAAAUAGUCCAGGUAAUUACUUAUUUAGUGAGUCAGCGUUUUUGCCAUAACUAUGUAUUGUAAUGUUUUACAGUCGAUAUUGUUGCUAUCCUUUGUAACUGACUGUACUGGAAGGGAAAGGAGAAGGGGGAUGUGGGGUUGGUAAAUAAGUGAAGCAAACGGUUGUCUCUCUCUCUUUGACUCUUAAUGCAGACGUCUGAUCAAUAAAAACCCAUCCUGAAGUCCAUAAA